UACGUAGGGGGGCAAGCGUUGUCCGGAAUUACUGGGCGUAAAGCGCGCGUAGGCGGCUUUGUAAGUUAGAGGUGAAAGCCCGGGGCUCAACCCCGGAACUGCCUUUAAAACUGCAUCGCUUGAAUCCGGGAGAGGUGAGUGGAAUUCCGAGUGUAGAGGUGAAAUUCGUAGAUAUUCGGAAGAACACCAGUGGCGAAGGCGGCUCACUGGACCGGUAUUGACGCUGAGGUGCGAAAGCGUGGGGAGCAAACAGG
rnacentral:rRNA from 1 species